GCCUAGCCCCGAUAGAAGUGGAAAUCCUUUUGCUUUUUCUUUAAAAAGUAAAAGAUUGCAACGUAUAGCGGGACGAGUG
rnacentral:sRNA from 1 species